ACUUGUUCUUUGGCUAGAAAUGAUUCCUUGUGUUGUCUCUCUCAUCGUAGGCAACAUUUUCAUACACAACUUCAUUUUUCCAGUGUUGCCAAAGCUCUGCUUCCUUUUUAAAAAUGGGAAAACAAAUUCACACUGUCUUGAAGGUAACAUAUGAACUUCUCUUAAUCGGUGGACUAAUAAUGAAGCUUGCUUAGCGGUUCCAAUGUGUGCAAGAAACAGAGUUUUUUUGUUCUUCAAUUCCUAGUGAGCUUCUCAUUGCUUCCCUGUUAGAAGAUGCUUCAUCUGUCACUUGCCAUAGUCCAGUAACCCUAAAGGGAUUUCCUGUGUGGAACAUCUCAGACUUUGGCUGUCAGCCUACCUUCUUGCCAGCAACUCUGGGAAAUGUACUGGAUAAAACAGUGGUCCCAGUAACUUUAGUCUCUGUAGUGUUACUUGUGCUCCUUUGGCUGCUUCUGGUGCUUUGGAAGAUGAAACACAACAGAGUACGUUGGCAGCUAGGUAAAGGAAUAGCUGUCGGUACCUGUAGAAAAGAGUUCAUAAGACCCCAGAAGAGCAGCGGGCAUCCUAAUAGGAAGAGACAAGUCACCAUCAAAGAAAUGGCUUCACAGAUUACAACAGUUGAACAACCUUCAAGAUCAGCCUUGGCAAGUUAGUCAAGUUCAGAACAUUCAGGAGGGAACUUGGGGCCCUCUGAACAGACUGGGCAAACCCCCCAAUUAGAGCUUCCUGGUGGGGAUUCAGGUUCCCUUAAUAACUUUCACCAACACAGCAAGAAGCUCAAUGCCCCAGUCCCUUGGCCCAGUGUGGAAUUUUCAUGUAAAGGUACAUGUUGUAUGUCUGAGCCUGUAAACCAGAAUCUGAGUGCAUUAGAAAUGAGUGGCAUAGAAAGAGGUGGUGCUAGGGUUGAGAACACUGAGACCCUGGAAUAUUUCACGGUAUCUAUAAAGAAGUCAAGUUGCCCCAGUACCAAGCCCCAUAGAACUGUGCAAAGUUUCCUUUGAAGAGGAGCCAGACAUGGCCACAGGAAAGUGGUAUGUGGAUCAAGGAACAAAGCCUGAGGACAAACAUCCCCUCAGUCCCUGCUAAGGACUCUCAGAAUGCUGAAAUACAUGAGUACCUACAAGGUGAUCUACACAUGCAAGAGAAUCCCAAGCCUCUGUUUAAGAGAACUUCCAAACCAAGACUCACCCAGAAGUUAGCCCAACUGGGUGGGUACCAGAGAAGAAGAUAGCUUACCCACAGUCAGGGGAAGGUGGGGCAGGAUGGAGCCUCAGCCCCUUUGUCUCUAAUACCAGAAGUCUCCCCUGCAUCCUCACUGGAGAAUACUCAGUCCUUUGAUAAGAGCCAGGCCCUUGGCUGUGACCUACUUCAUGAGGUGGUGGAGAACCAUGGUAGAUGGACUUGGAAGCAUUGGAAGCAAACUCAUCAACCAAGAGGAGUUGAUGGAUAAUUGAAGAGUCAACAUCUUCUUCCACCUCCUUCUUCCUUGAUAAGGUAGAUUAGAGAAAUCUCAGCAACUAAGCUAAUGUAGAAUAGUGUGGCUUUUUUUUUCCAGUACUGAACUGGUCUCUGAUGUAGAGGAUGAACUCUGCUGUACACUGACUCUCUUCUCUCCCUUUCCUCAUUUUUGACUUAAACGUUGACCCAAAUGUCCUAGCAUACAAACUUAUUAUGCUCUUUGCCUGGCUUAUUUUCUCUGAAUUUAAACCCAUUUACUCUGCACUUAGUAAAUAUUAUUGACUCGACUACAUAAGCCUUCUUGGUCAAAAGUUAUUUUGUUUGUUCUAUAGUGACAAUCUCAUCCCUAGUAGUAAUUUUAAAGGGUGGAAGUGGGAUAGAGCAUAUGGGUAUUCAAGGCAUAUUCAAAUGCAUUUUAAAAAGCAUUGCACUACUUACAGAGAUCUAGACACUAAGCAGCAGGUUCAGAUACUAGAUUUGGUUGUGAAAAUAUAUACUAUUCAUUGUUUAAAGCCUUUUAAAAGUUUGAUGUAGCAUGUUAGGAAAUUGCUUUUCUCUGUAAGAAUAUUUGAA